rnacentral:rRNA from 1 species
UACGGGAGGCAGCAGUGGGGAAAUAUUAUACAAUUGCAGGGAAACCCUGAUGCGGACACCAGCCGAGUCUCGUAGAAGGGCCCUCUUGCGCUGUAAAGACGC